GCAUGCGAAGAUGAUCCAGCUAGCGGGGAGUGUGUUGCGGCUUGGGAUACAGUGGAGGAACUGAGUGCUGCUGCUAGCCAUGCAAGAGACAAGGCGAAGGACAGCGAUCCUUUGGAGACUUACUGCAAGGACAAUCCUGAGACAGAUGAGUGCCGUACUUACGAGGAUUAAAUUGGCAUUUUUAAUUUCUUAAUUAGUACUGAAGCAUUAGAUGUUUUAGUAAGUUUAUAUUUGAAUCCUUUGAUCAUGAUGGAGGCACUGGAAUUGUUGUUUGAUGGAUUUAUCGUGGUAUUAUCAGCAGAUACAUAUACCAUAGUAUACCAUCUUUCAGGAUAAAUGGAUAAUUAUCACUUAUUGAUGUUUAUUUUGUUUGCCCUUUUCUUUUUUAUUUUUUUACUUGAGGGUGCUCGAAAUCGAUACUCCAUAUAUUUGGUUGCAGACUUGAAUUUGGUCAAUAUAUACUUAUAUUUGUAAAAAGUGAUUUUCAAACCAUAAAUAUGUCUCACUAUUUUGCUUCCAUUUCAUAUGGUUUUCCCCUACAAUAAUUCAUUUAUUUCGUUUUGUAGUAAAAAAUUGAAUAUUCGAUGAUAGUGAAGAAAGUUAAACUAUUCAUUUCUGUUUCAGAAAGCAAUUGUUUAUAAAAAAAAUUAUCUCCUUUCGUUUGUUUUUGUGAUUUUAUUAGGAAUAUUAGCACUGUAGUGUGAUACUAUUUUACAUUUUGAUUUUAGAUAACAGGCACCUAUCAAUACUAAUAAAUAUUAGGUGAAAUUUAAGGUUCACUAUAAAAAUAGUAACUUGAUUUUCUUUCAAUAUAUUUAUGUGUUUAUUCAACAAUGAAAAUUCUUAACAUUCAAAAAGGUUUUACAUAAAAGGUUUUGGAACUAGAUUUUAUAUAAUUUACAAAAUUUCACAUAAAAUUUAUAUAUAAAAUAUUUGAUCUAAAAAUUUAUAAAUUUUUACCUCAAUAUUAUAUCAUUCAUCGAUUUAACAUAUUGAAGAUAUUCACCUAAAAUAUAUAAAAUAUUAAGUAUCACAAUCAGAACAAAAAAGAAUUCUUACCACGGUGAUCUAUAUAAAAAUAUUAAGUACUACAAUGAGAACAAGAAGAAAUCUUAUCACAAUCAUCUAUUGACAGCAUGAUCUUAAUCUAACAAAUUAAUCCAACAAUCUUCACUCAUUUUGUUAUUGACAUUUCUUUCCUUCUGUUUUUAGUUUAUGUUAUCCAAAUUUAAAAUGCUUAAUUUUAAAAACAACUUUUUUUUUCGAAAUCAAUUUUAGAAACAACUUAGAGAACCAGAAAACUACCGUUUUCUUAAUGGAUUAAUGUAAUGGAAAAUGCUUUUUUUUUUUCAUAUAUUUUGUUUUAAAAUCUGAACAGCAAAAACAAAAACAAAAAAUACCGGAAGGAACAUAAUUAAACAGAAGCUGGCUCGAGAAUCCUUACUAUGGGCAAUCAUUUUUGGAUAAGGAACAUUAUCAUCUGCUACAAUUUGUGCCGAUGGUGGGCGAGCAAAACAUUUCUAGAUGACAGCGAGAAUCAAGAUUCUACACGCAAGCUGGUCAUGCAUGAUGGUCAAGGGGAAAGAUUUUCAAA
rnacentral:lncRNA from 1 species